AGUCCAUGAUGAGGGACCUUCCUCAGUAAUUCCUUGUAGCGCUCCCAUGAUUCAUAUAAUGAUUCCCCGUCCUAUUGAGAGAAGGUGGUGAUAGCAUUCCUCAUCUU
rnacentral:snoRNA from 1 species